rnacentral:rRNA from 1 species
CUCCAGACUCCUACGGGAGGCAGCAGUGGGGGAUAUUGCACAAUGGGGGGAACCCUGAUGCAGCGACGCCGCGUGGGUGAAGAAGUAUUUCGGUAUGUAAAGCCCUAUCGGCAGGGAAGAAAUUGGACGGUACCUGACUAAGAAGCCCUGGCUAACUACGUGCCAGCAGCCGCGGUAAUACGUAGGGGGCAAGCGUUAUCCGGAUUCACUGGGUGUAAAGGGAGCGUAGACGGCCAUGCAAGCCUGGAGUGAAAGCCCGGGGCCCAACCCCGGGACUGCUCUGGGAACUGUGCGGCUGGAGUGCGGGAGGGGCAGGCGGAAUUCCUGGUGUAGCGGUGAAAUGCGUAGAGAUUAGGAAGAACACCAGUGGCGAAGGCGAUUCUCUGGACUGUAACUGACGCUGAGGCUCGAAAGCGUGGGGAGCAAACAGGAUUAGAUACCCCUGUAGUA